rnacentral:rRNA from 1 species
CCUACGGGAGGCUGCAGUGGGGAAUAUUGGACAAUGGGCGAAAGCCUGAUCCAGCCAUGCCGCGUGUGUGAAGAAGGCCUUCGGGUUGUAAAGCACUUUCAGUGGGGAAGAAAGCCUUGGGGCUAAUACCCUCGAGGAAGGACAUCACCCACAGAAGAAGCACCGGCUAACUCCGUGCCAGCAGCCGCGGUAAUACGGAGGGUGCGAGCGUUAAUCGGAAUUACUGGGCGUAAAGCGCGCGUAGGCGGUCUGAUAAGCCGGUUGUGAAAGCCCCGGGCUCAACCUGGGAACGGCAUCCGGAACUGCCAGGCUAGAGUGCAGGAGAGGAAGGUAGAAUUCCCGGUGUAGCGGUGAAAUGCGUAGAGAUCGGGAGGAAUACCAGUGGCGAAGGCGGCCUUCUGGACUGACACUGACGCUGAGGUGCGAAAGCGUGGGUAGCAAACAGGAUUAGAUACCCUGGUAGUC